ACGAACGCUGGCGGCGUGCUUAACACAUGCAAGUCGAACGGAAAGGCCCUGCUUUUGUGGGGUGCUCGAGUGGCGAACGGGUGAGUAACACGUGAGUAACCUGCCCUUGACUUUGGGAUAACUUCAGGAAACUGGGGCUAAUACCGGAUAGGAGCUCCUGCUGCAUGGUGGGGGUUGGAAAGUUUCGGCGGUUGGGGAUGGACUCGCGGCUUAUCAGCUUGUUGGUGGGGUAGUGGCUUACCAAGGCUUUGACGGGUAGCCGGCCUGAGAGGGUGACCGGCCACAUUGGGACUGAGAUACGGCCCAGACUCCUACGGGAGGCAGCAGUGGGGAAUAUUGCACAAUGGGCGGAAGCCUGAUGCAGCAACGCCGCGUGCGGGAUGACGGCCUUCGGGUUGUAAACCGCUUUCGCCUGCGACGAAGCGUGAGUGACGGUAAUGGGUAAAGAAGCACCGGCUAACUACGCG
rnacentral:rRNA from 1 species